rnacentral:snoRNA from 1 species
UGGUGAGACCUCAUCUCUACAAUAAAUCAAGCAUUCACUAUAUUAAGGCCUUGCAUGUGUCCCCAGGCCUAGUUCUUUCCCUAGGUCUGGUUUUGAAGUGCUGGUGAUAAAC